GACUGCCCCUAGGACAGAAUCUUUUUUUAGAGUUCCCUCCUUGGUGAUGCUUUCUCCUGUGAACCUGGGCUCUUCUGGUACAGGUACCAGUGAAAGUACUUUGCAGAACGGAAUGGUCAAAAAAGCUCAUCAAUAUGUGUUAUUAACUGACUAAUUUGUCACCGUCUUCCAACAAUAAUGACAAAAUAUUUAGAAUGGAAAAAUCUCACGCAAAGGCACUUAACAAGUCAGCUACAAAUGGUAAAAAGCAACGAAGAGCAGUGCAGUGUGCUUCUUGAUCCAUUAUGUAGCUGUUGGAAUAAGCAACCUCAUUUCCAGGUAAAAGGCGGGAGCCUCAGCAGGAGAUGGAAGGAAUGUGAAAACUGGAAUUCCCCUCCAGAAAAGGGAGGAAGCCACGCUCAGGAGGAUUCUUGGGCUUAUCACUGAUUAUGCUAACAACAAAACUAAACCCAGAAAAAUGGGUACUUGUGGACAGUAGGUGCGUGUUUGCUUGGUUUAGAGUUGGAGAUAUCUUAAUGUCUUAUUUAUAGCUUACCUUCAUCUUGACGUGACUAUUGUAUUAAAAAAAAAAAAGAAAGCAAGAUCAGAGGAGAGAUGUGGACAGCAGUGAAUUUGGAUUUCAGGAGAACUAGCAUCUGUGGCCUGUGUAUAUACUAAAUCUGACAUUCUGCCAUCACUAUGAGAGGGAUAUCGGCAAGAGAGAAAGGCUGGAGUGGGGAAAUAAAUGUGCAUAACCUCACACUGCCAGUCCUCCCAUGCAACUGGAUGCGUUAAGUUUCCUUGUGAAUGGAAUGAAAAUGGCGACUCGCAUAAUGCACUAAGGAUCUCAAGCUCACAUCAUUGGCAGAUGUUAACUGGGC
ensembl:lncRNA